UCCCCAUUCUCCUAACGGUUCUCGUCAACCUCUCUCUCCACCCAUUAUAAAUUUCCAUCUCACACGUCCGCUUUCUCCUCCCCAACCACCUAAGCCACCCAUUAUAAACCCUCCACCCCACCAUUGCCAAGUUCGCUUUCUCCUCCGUACACAAAUUCGAAUUUGGAUGAAUCACCUCACUAGAUCCAAUCAUCAGCUUUCAUAAUCGAUUUGGGUUCUAAAUUAUGUUCUCAUGAAGGAACUUCUCAGUUCUUGCUGUAUUCAAGCUUUUCAGUCGAUUUCCAGUUUCAGAAUCCAAUCCGUGUUGUGUCACGAGAAUCAUGGUGUUUGAUAAAUUCCCUCAGUGAGAGUUCUGUUGAUGUCUACCUUUUAAGUAAUGGCAGGAGUUUCAUGUUGUAAGAUGACGAAGUAUUACAAUUCGAGGCUAGAUGCAUAGAGGUAUAUUCGUUAUUCAUUGCUCUUUAUAAAGAUGCCCAUGUGGCUUUAUUCUAAAGAUCUACAAUAGUAUUGAUCUCUAACGUGUAGCACUCAUUAUUAAAUUUUAUCUCUUAUUGUUGGUAGGAACGACUAAAAGAACAAAAUUUUAAGGAAAUAAUGAUGAAGAUGUAUAGAAAUAUGGAUGAGAUAAGAUAUGAGUUAGCGGGAUUGCUUGAAGAAGAAUAAAAAAUCGUGCAUGAAUAGAACAAAGAGCCUAACAAAUAAUAACCAAGUUGGAGUCUCACGUAUUAAUAUAAUUAGUUUAAAUCCUUAUUUUUAACAUAUUUAGCCUAUAGUUGUCAUUACCAAAAUCAGUGAUAUAAUUUAGGCUCAUGAUAUUUUUUUUAACAGGUAGUUCAAUUUGGAUCAAACAUAUGAAAAAAAUGGAUAAAUAAAAACAAUAAAUUUGCAGAGUGUUAAUCAAUUUGAUUUUAAACUCAAAGCUUGGUUCCAAUAGUAAGCAUAAUCUCUAAGCAAUCAAUGUAUGUGUCUAUGUAUAUGUAUGUGUGUGCACACGCUUGAUUUGGUUUGCUUUCAAGCUCAAAACUAAGAUCCAAAUUAAGAUUUUUUUACUGACAGUUAUUGGAUUAAUUUUGUUUGUGAUAAAAGGAAACCUGGAGCAAAAAUUACCACCAAGAAGCAGUGUUUCCGAAUGGUACAACUAAUGACUUUUUCAAUUUUCUAAAGAUUUUUGGCAUAUUCUAGGAGAUUAAGAAGAAAGAUGAAUUAAAUGAGUUUUUGGUGUAUGGGAUACCAUCUGUUUAAUAUUUUCCGUGUACAAUAUUGUUUAGUUUUGGUAUAUAUUUAUAGGAAACAAUUGUUCGUUAUUUUUCUAUUAUAGGAAACUGUGUUUAUGUUGGUUAAGUUAUCUUAUAAUUAUUUUUCUAUUAUUGUGGUCUAGAUUACAUGUUUGGUGAAUAGGAAACUAUUGUUCAUUAUUUGUCUUCUCAUUUAUUGAUUAUAACCAUGUAUUCUUGAGCAGACUAUGCAGUGUGAAGCAUCAUAGGUAUGACUUUAUGUAUCUCAUUUAUUAUUCGAUACAAAAAAUUUAAAGUGAGAUAUUUUAUAAGUUUGUAAUGGGAGUAGUUUUUAAUAUGUGUGUUAUUUUGGUAACUGGUCUAAUGGAUAAACGGGUACGGGUCAUGGUGAUUCAUUUAAACAACAUAAUAACGUUUCACACGAAUCGCUUUACAAGUUGUUUAAGUCUUUAAGGUGGGUUGCAAAUAUAACUUUAUUGAAACUGACAGGAAAUUGACCUACAAAAGUAGUACAGCCCGUAUAACCAUUAUAUUUCCGGUAUGAUAUGUGGCGGUGGUGUACGAAUACCAGCACCCUUUUAUAGUACAACAAAGAUCAUGUCAUGUACAAUGUAAUAUGUUUUGACUACGUUGUUAGGUUGUCUAUUUGAAUCUUGUGGAAGUUUAGUUUCUUAUUUCAACUAAAAAGUCAUGAUCUUUUGUUUUGCUCUGUUAGGUGAACAGGUUACCUUUGUAGUUUUGUUCCUCCGGCUCCAUUUCAUUCACACAUUUAUAGCAAUGGUCAGAUUUGUUUCUUUACUCCUUUGUUAGUUAUUCAGUUUAUACCUAAAUUACACGUUGUUUAGUUACCUUGAAAUUUUUUAACAUAUAUUAAUAUUUACUAUGAUGUUCUGCAUCGACAAUUGCAUUAUAUAUACGAAGUUAUUUUACUAUUUAUUUUUAUAAAUACCCGGAUUCAAGAUUAAUCCUUUUUAUAUAAAUUGUUGUGAUUCGCUCUCAGACUCGUGUGAUUCGCUCUCAGACUUGUGUUAUUGUCGAGGGAAAGAACCUGGAGAUUAAUCCUUUUUAUAUAAAUUUGUUGUAUGUAUGCAUGUAAUAAUAUUCACUCAUCGCUUUGGAUAAAAGUGCAGGUAAAGAAACAUAUAAGGCAAGGUCAUGAAGUUGGGAUCUUUAUACUAAAGCCCCUCUUCAUGUCUCAAAUGUUUAAAUUCUUGACCCAGUUACCGGGUAUAUUCGGUACCGGUACCAGUUCCCAUUUUCCCCGUUUUUUGAUACCGGUACGGUACCGGUAUUUACGGGUAAAACACCGAGGUAAAUACCGGUACCGUACGGUACCGGUAUUUAUGGUGUGAUUGGUUUGAAAUACGGCUCACCAAAUUUAUCACUUGGGGCCACACUUAUGCCAUAUUCUUCAUUUGUCAAUUUCCCAUGUCUUCAGAAGAUUAUCGUUUUGUGGUUGUAAAGUGUUGACGUGCGUUUUCCUUUCAUAAAUUAAAGAAUGAUGUUUUUGUU